rnacentral:rRNA from 1 species
UACGUAGGGCGCAAGCGUUGUCCGGAAUUAUUGGGCGUAAAGAGCUCGUAGGCGGCCUGUUGCGUCCGCUGUGAAAUCCCGGGGCUUAACCCCGGGCCUGCAGUCGAUACGGGCAGGCUCGAGUUCGGUAGGGGAGACUGGAAUUCCUGGUGUAGCGGUGAAAUGCGCAGAUAUCAGGAGGAACACCGAUGGCGAAGGCAGGUCUCUGGGCCACUACUGACGCUGAGAAGCGAAAGCAUGGGGAGCGAACAGG